UACGAAGGGGGCUAGCGUUGUUCGGAAUUACUGGGCGUAAAGGGCGCGCAGGCGGCCGCUCAAGUCAGAUGUGAAAGCCCCGGGCUCAACCUGGGAACUGCAUUUGAUACUGAGUGGCUAGAGUUCGGGAGAGGAGAGUGGAAUUCCCAGUGUAGAGGUGAAAUUCGUAGAUAUUGGGAAGAACACCGGUGGCGAAGGCGGCUCUCUGGACCGAGACUGACGCUGAGGCGCGAAAGCGUGGGGAGCAAACAGG
rnacentral:rRNA from 1 species